rnacentral:lncRNA from 1 species
AUGCCUGAACUGGCUAAGUCCUCUCCUGCCCCUAAAAAGGGCUCUAAAAAAGCUGUGACCAAGGUCCAGAAGAAGGACGACAAGAAGGACAGCAAGAAGUGCAAGUGCAGCCGCAAGGAGAGCUACUCCGUGUACGUGUACCAGGUGCUGAAGCAAGUCCAUCUGGACAGCGGCAUCUCGUCCAAGGCCAUGGGAAUCAUGAACUCCUUCGUCAACGACGUUUUCGAGGGCAUCUCUGGCGAGGCAUCGUGCCUGGUGCAUUACAACAAGCACAUGACUAUCACAUCCAGGGACAUCCAGACCACCAGGCUCAUGUUGCUACCUGGGGAGCUGGCUAAGCACACCAUGUCCGAGGGCACUAAGGCUGUCACCAAGUAUACUAGCUCCAAGUAA